rnacentral:misc_RNA from 1 species
CCUUCUCUCUCUCCCGCUUUCUAUAAAGCUUCUCCAGAACUCGCUUGGCCUCACAAUUUGGAAAGUUGUCUAGAUCAUAGUAGUGUGGUGCUAUGUCUACUAGCCAUUCACCACGAAUAUCUGUCACCGUACGGAUAAAAUUCCGGCUCGUUAGGACAUACUCAUUGUAAAUAACCCACUCUGGCUUGUGAUCCAGACAAUUUGAAGGAUGUAAAUGCACCACUUGGUUGUCUUUCACCGUCAGGUAGUGCCCAGUGCGUUCCAGGUGAGC